AGAGUUUGAUCAUGGCUCAGAACGAACGCUGGCGGCAUGCCUAACACAUGCAAGUCGAACGAGGCCUUCGGGUCUAGUGGCGCACGGGUGAGUAGCGCGUGGGAACCUGCCCUUUGGUACGGAAUAUCCACGGGAAACUGUGGGCAAUACCGUAUACGCCCCUUGGGGGAAAGAUUUAUCGCCGAAGGAGGGGCCCGCGUCCGAUUAGGUAGUUGGUGGGGUAACGGCCUACCAAGCCCGCGAUCGGUAGCUGGUCUGAGAGGAUGAUCAGCCACACUGGGACUGAGACACGGCCCAGACUCCUACGGGAGGCAGCAGUGGGGAAUAUUGGACAAUGGGGGCAACCCUGAUCCAGCAAUGCCGCGUGAGUGAUGAAGGCCUUAGGGUUGUAAAGCUCUUUCACCCACGACGAUGAUGACGGUAGUGGGAGAAGAAGCCCCGGCUAACUUCGUGCCAGCCGCCGCGGUAAUUC
rnacentral:rRNA from 1 species